rnacentral:rRNA from 1 species
AUUGAACGCUGGCGGCAGGCUUAACACAUGCAAGUCGAGCGAGCGGCGGACGGGUGUGUAAUGUCUGGGAACCUGCCUGAUGGAGGGGGAUAACUACUGGAAACGGUAGCUAAUACCGCAUACCAUCAGAUGUGCCCAGAUGGGAUUAGCUAGUAGGUGGGGUAUUGGCUCACCUAGGCGACGAUCCCUAGCUGGUCUGAGAGGAUGACCAGCCACACGGAAACUGGUACACGGUCCAGACUCCUCCGGGAGGCAGCAGUGGGGACUAUUGCACAAGGGGCGCAAGCCUGAUGCAUCCAUGCCGCGUGUGUGAAGAAGGCCUUCGGGUUGUAAAGCACUUUCAGCGAGGAGGCGUUACUCGCAGAAGAAGCACCGGCUAACUCCGUGCCAGCCGCCGCGGUAAUUC